rnacentral:tRNA from 3 species
GGAGAGGUGCGAGAGUGGUUUAAUCGGCACGCCUGGAAAGCGUGUGUCUACCAUGUGGACCGUGGGUUCGAAUCCCACCCUCUCCG